rnacentral:rRNA from 1 species
GACGAACGCUGGCGGCGUGCUUAACACAUGCAAGUCGAACGGUAAGGCCCUUUCGGGGGUACACGAGUGGCGAACGGGUGAGUAACACGUUGGUGAUCUUCCCUGCACUUUGGGAUAAGCCUGGGAAACUGGGUCUAAUACCGGAUAGGACUACGCGAUGCAUGUCGUGUGGUGGAAAGCUUUUGCGGUGUGGGAUGGGCCCGCGGCCUAUCAGCUUGUUGGCGGGGUGAUGGCCUACCAAGGCGACGACGGGUAGCCGGCCUGAGAGGGUGUCCGGCCACACUGGGACUGAGAUACGGCCCAGACUCCUACGGGAGGCAGCAGUGGGGAAUAUUGCACAAUGGGCGCAAGCCUGAUGCAGCGACGCCGCGUGGGGGAUGACGGCCUUCGGGUUGUAAACCCCUUUCAGCACAGACGAAGCGUAAGUGACGGUAGGUGCAGAAGAAGCACCGGCCAACUACGUG